rnacentral:rRNA from 1 species
CCUACGGGCGGCAGCAGUGUGGAAUAUUGGGCAAUGGGCGCAAGCCUGACCCAGCAACGCCGCGUGAAGGAAGAAGGCUUUCGGGUUGUAAACUUCUUUUGUCAGGGAAGAGUAGAAGACGGUACCUGACGAAUAAGCCACGGCUAACUACGUGCCAGCAGCCGCGGUAAUACGUAGGUGGCAAGCGUUGUCCGGAUUUAAUGGGUGUAAAGGGCGUGUAGCCGGGUUGACAAGUAAGAUGUGAAAUCCUGCGGCUUAACCGCAGAACUGCAUUUGAAACUGUUGAUCUUGAGUACUGGAGAGGCAGAUGGAAUUCCUAGUGUAGCGGUGAAAUGCGUAGAUAUUAGGAGGAACACCAGUGGCGAAGGCGGUCUGCUGGACAGCAACUGACGGUGAGGCGCGAAAGCGUGGGGAGCAAACAGGAUUAGAUACCCGUGUAGUC